AGUUUCAGGCCUUAAAGAACAAAUUUGGGACUCAGAAUCAGGAAAUGUUUUUACUUUUUGAUCAUUUUUCUUAAAUUAGGUCCUUAUAUUCUUAGAACUCUAGUUAUGCAUUCAUGGUUAAAAUAAGGAAGAGUUUUCUUCUUCUUGCACUUCGUUAUCUUAAACUUUACUCAAAUUGUACUCAGAAUGAGUAAAUAUGUAUUUUUUUAGCAUUCUGCUAUUGACUAAAAAGUAUUCAUUUUUAAAGAUUUGAAUUUAUAAGCGUACCAUUUAUUUAUAACCAUGUAAUUUUUUAAACAGUCUGACAAUUUGUGCAUAUUUCCUCUUUUUUUGGUUCUGAUGUUUUGUAGUUGGAUCUUAGAUGUGUCCUAAUGGGGGAUUAAGGGUUUUCUGUUUUUAAAGUAAGAAAGAAAAAGGAUCAAAAAUCUCUUGGAAAAUGAGCAGCAAAUUAUUUUAAAGAUGUAUUAAAUCCAAACUGAUAGAACACAGCAGGAACAAUAACUAGUCUAAUUGAAGAUCCAUUUACUUUUCUGAAAAUCUGUUCUUUUUACACGUUUAUUGAACCACCUCUUUGUAUGAAGCUGUAUUUGAAGACUGAGCGUUUCUUCAGCGGCGUCUGGAGGCGAGCCUGGGCCAGAAGCAGCUCAGGCAGCAGAGGAGCAGGAACCUGAAGCUCCACUGACAGAUUCAGUUACUCAGCCUCACUAAAUAUAAGACAUCUCAUUUACAUCUGUACUUAUGGAAACUUCUGAGGCAGAGCAAUGAAAGAGUCCAAGUGAGUCAAAGCUGAAAAACCAAGCACAUGUAGAUCAUUUUACUGGUAGCUCUCAUUGACUUAUUCCAUAAAAAAUGACUCCCUGACCCCGUCACGUGAGCUUAACGGCGUGCUGGGAGGGGGCGGGACUAUCCACGUAUGUGACAGCAGAUAAAGGGCGAUUAUCAGUCAUCAACAUUAGAGCAGGGGCGUCUGUGCCUCUUUGGGGGAACAAAUCCACUGAAGAGAAAGUUUUUACCACAAGAAUUACAAAGUCCAGAUGAAGCAGUUUCAUCUGAAUCUGCAGGGAUUUAUGUCCCGAGAACAUCGGCUCCAUGAAAACCUUCACACAUCACUGAACAAGAGGAGGUUUUAAGCUUGUCUCAGAAAGCAAAUGUUUGAGACAAUUUUCUACCACAUGUUGGAGAGAAGUCAAACUUCAAGCAGCACCUGGUGACAAUGGAAAGAAAAGACCUUCUAACAGCGGAGAGAGAGAAAACAAAACAAUGUUCUUGCUUAAUUUUUAUGUGUAACUUUUUAUUAUCCUCUGCAAGCUUCUUCAACUUUGUAUUGUAGUUAAAAACUGUAUAAUUAUUUCUUUUACAAGCUUUUAAGCUAAAAAGUCGCUUCAGUUUGAAAAUGUGCUUUUUCAGCAAAGUUGAAGGAUUCACCUGAGAGCAAAGCUGAAAUCAGAAACCGUCUGUGGAGCCUUGAAUGACUCACUUUUGACCUUUCAGACUCAUUAAUGGACUCUGAAAGACAUAAACGGUUAGAAAUUAUCCUCAUUAUAACAAAUGCAAUCAAAUCUUUUUUUUUAAUCCACAGAAAUUUCUUUGCCUUCAUAGUUUUGAGUGAAACUGAUCUGUUAGUGGAUCCUCUUCAGGAUGAGACAUGAUCAUAAUCUGGAGAAGUGCCUCCACCUUUAUAACUUUAUUUGAUUCUAUUUCUUAGAAUCAGUGACUGUCUUUGCUCUAAGGAUCAGUUGGAAGUUUUUUUUCCACCCAUAAUUCAAAGCUACAUAUAUGGAAUUCUCAAUUGACAUUUCAAUAUGCCAGUCAGGCUUGUAACCAUUUUGUAAUUUAGAUUUCAAGAUGAAAAAUGACAAUUUAAUCUUACAUUUUUAGUUUGUUUUGCAAUGUCAUGUGAAUUUUGUUACAAAAACACUACGGUAAAUUCAAAUGGAAUCAAUUUAAAAGGAAUUUAAAGCAAACCAUGUAUUGAAAUGUCAUCUUUUAGUGUUGAAACGUCAAUUUAAAUGUGGAAGCUGCAUUUUCAAAAUUCAACUUGCCUUUUCAUUUCAAUUAUGGUACCAAUAACCCAUGACAAUGUAACCCUUGUGCUAUCCUAGGCACUUUAAUAUUGGGAGUUGGGUCAUCUAGACCCACAAGACAGUGCUCUGAACCUUUUUUCUUCAAUGAUUUGUGAUCUUCACUGGUGUCCAUGGAUUACAUGAAAUCUUUCCACCUUUAUCCACCUUUGUCAUGGUAGGGAGAACAUGUCAAUGCAAGGGUGGGGUCAUCUAAGAUAGCACAAGGGUUAAAAUGCAACUGAUUUUGCUUUCAUUUAUGAGUUUAUUUUUAUUUGUAAUAUUAAGUUGUAAUUUUUCAUAUUCGAUUCUACAUUUCAAAAUACAUUUUCACAUAGUACACGCCUGAAUUUAUUAUUGAAAUCAACUGCAAAAUGCAUUUUUAACUUGCAUGAUCAAAUAGCAAAUGGAAUUGCUCAUUUAAAAUUCCAAGUUAUUUUGAGUUAAGGGUGAAAAAAAACUGGUCUAGGAUUGCAGGUUUGUGCAGCAUUUACCAGAGAAAAAUGCUCAUUUGUCUGGAAAUUUGUCAAAUUAAGUUGACGGAACAGAAAAGUGUUGAUUUCUUUUAGAAGAUCUGAGCAGAAAGAAAAAAUAAAGUAAAAGCAAACA